GAAACAAAGCUCUGCGUGAAAAAUUAAGAGCGGCAAAACUCCCGCUUUUGUUUCACCCACCUCAUAUCAUUUCAGCCCCCACACACAUUUUUGUCCACACACACUCACCUCACUCACCUUCUAUAAUCACCGGUGUCUUCAAACUCAGCUCUUCGACGAUUGGGUAACUUUUGGGGACAACUGAAUCGAGUUCUCUCUCAAUCGAUUUCAUCGUUAUUAGGGUUUUGGUUUCAGGACUUCAAUUAAAUUAGGGAUCCACUCCAACAUGAAUGGCUUGAGUCGAAUUAGGGCUUUUCACUUCAAUUGGGGCUUCGAAUUCUUGGAUUGUGAUUUAAGAUAACAUCCCUGCUGUUGGUAUGGCAAUGGAGGGUGCGACUAUGUCAAAAAACCUGAAUUCUUACUGAAGUCUAUUCCAAAUAUUAGCAUAUUUGAUCCCAAAGUAAAGCUUCCAGUGAAGAAAUUCUAUGAAGAUUUUUAUACUAAGGUAAUUCCUUACUCGCUUUAAGGCUUGGCUGCAGAUACAGCUCCUGGUUUCAUAUCUCUUCAGAAAUCCAGAAGUUUUGGACAUGGUUACAUUCAAGGUGCCACUUAUUCUUCAGCUGUUAGUGGAAGAGUGAAGAUAUUUUGUUUAUUGAAAGAAAAAUGAAGUGUUGUGCAAAGUUGUGAGUGACUAAAGUUGUGAGGCGAUAAACUGAUUUGGUAGCUGCUUUGAUUUGAUUCCAUUUGGUAGUUACUUUUGUUUGUAUCAAAGAAUAGUUUAUUGAGAUGUUUAACAUUUAAAGUGUAUAUUUUCAACUCCUUUCGGUAAAUAAUGUUGCUUUCGAUUAAUAAAAUGGGGCAGCUGCUGUAGUAAAAUGUUUGAAAGUUA